CAGCAAUAAAAUUGUCAUAGCAUCAAUAUUAUUUGAAUUAUUCAGAAGUCAGAAACCCUAUAUAAAACACAAAACUAGACAGGGCUACGUCAUUCAUAUAUUUCGCAGAUAAACUACAGCCUAGAUAUAUUCAAAAGAAAAAGUAACAAUGAAACUUGUAGUCGCAGUUUUGUGCUUGACCCUGUUACUGGCAGUCAGUGAUGCAAAACCCAAAAGGGAGAUUCGUGCACCGGCCAUUGAACAACCUUGGAAGAGAGAGACGGAACGUGACCUUGACCGAAGGGUUAUUUUCAUAAGGGAAGAUGAACGUGAUGUUCGUGGAGCACAUAUACCUGUGGCAUAAUUCAAGGCACCUGUAUGAAAUGGAGAAUGAAACAAAAUAAAAUAGUGUGAAUCCACUA